rnacentral:rRNA from 1 species
GGUUAAGCGACUAAGCGUACACGGUGGAUGCCCUGGCAGUCAGAGGCGAUGAAGGACGUGCUAAUCUGCGAAAAGCGUCGGUAAGGUGAUAUGAACCGUUACAGCCGGCGAUGUCCGAAUGGGGAAACCCAGUGCAAUUCGUUGCACUAUCGUUAACUGAAUACAUAGGUUAACGAGGCGAACCGGGGGAACUGAAACAUCUAAGUACCCCGAGGAAAAGAAAUCAACCGAGAUUCCCCCAGUAGCGGCGAGCGAACGGGGAGCAGCCCAGAGUCUGAAUCAGCUUGUGUGUUAGUGGAACGGUCUGGAAAGUCCGACGGUACAGGGUGAUAGUCCCGUACACCAAAAUGCACAGGUUGUGAACUCGAAGAGUAGGGCGGGACACGUGGUAUCCUGUCUGAAUAUGGGGGGACCAUCCUCCAAGGCUAAAUACUCCUGACUGACCGAUAGUGAACCAGUACCGUGAGGGAAAGGCGAAAAGAACCCCGGCGAGGGGAGUGAAAAAGAACCUGAAACCGUGUACGUACAAGCAGUGGGAGCACCUUCGGGUGUGACUGCGUACCUUUUGUAUAAUGGGUCAGCGACUUAUAUUCUGUAGCAAGGUUAACCGUAUAGGGGAGCCGCAGGGAAACCGAGUCUUAACUGGGCGUUAAGUUGCAGGGUAUAGACCCGAAACCCGGUGAUCUAGCCAUGGGCAGGUUGAAGGUUGGGUAACACUAACUGGAGGACCGAACCGACUAAUGUUGAAAAAUUAGCGGAUGACUUGUGGCUGGGGGUGAAAGGCCAAUCAAACCGGGAGAUAGCUGGUUCUCCCCGAAAGCUAUUUAGGUAGCGCCUCGUGAACUCAUCUUCGGGGUAGAGCACUGUUUCGGCUAGGGGGUCAUCCCGACUUACCAACCCGAUGCAAACUACGAAUACCGAAGAAUGUUAUCACGGGAGACACACGGCGGGUGCUAACGUCCGUCGUGAAGAGGGAAACAACCCAGACCGCCAGCUAAGGUCCCAAAGUCAUGGUUAAGUGGGAAACGAUGUGGGAAGGCACAGACAGCCAGGAUGUUGGCUUAGAAGCAGCCAUCAUUUAAAGAAAGCGUAAUAGCUCACUGGUCGAGUCGGCCUGCGCGGAAGAUGUAACGGGGCUAAACCAUGCACCGAAGCUGCGGCAGCGACACUAUGUGUUGUUGGGUAGGGGAGCGUUCUGUAAGCCUGCGAAGGUGUGCUGUGAGGCAUGCUGGAGGUAUCAGAAGUGCGAAUGCUGACAUAAGUAACGAUAAAGCGGGUGAAAAGCCCGCUCGCCGGAAGACCAAGGGUUCCUGUCCAACGUUAAUCGGGGCAGGGUGAGUCGACCCCUAAGGCGAGGCCGAAAGGCGUAGUCGAUGGGAAACAGGUUAAUAUUCCUGUACUUGGUGUUACUGCGAAGGGGGGACGGAGAAGGCUAUGUUAGCCGGGCGACGGUUGUCCCGGUUUAAGCAUGUAGGCUGAUUGUCCAGGCAAAUCCGGAUAAUCAAGGCUGAGGUGUGAUGACGAGGCACUACGGUGCUGAAGUAACAAAUGCCCUGCUUCCAGGAAAAGCCUCUAAGCAUCAGGUAACAUUAAAUCGUACCCCAAACCGACACAGGUGGUCAGGUAGAGAAUACCAAGGCGCUUGAGAGAACUCGGGUGAAGGAACUAGGCAAAAUGGUGCCGUAACUUCGGGAGAAGGCACGCUGGUGUGUAGGUGAAGUCCCUGCGGAUGGAGCUGAGACCAGUCGAAGAUACCAGCUGGCUGCAACUGUUUAUUAAAAACACAGCACUGUGCAAACACGAAAGUGGACGUAUACGGUGUGACGCCUGCCCGGUGCCGGAAGGUUAAUUGAUGGGGUUAUCCGUAAGGAGAAGCUCUUGAUCGAAGCCCCGGUAAACGGCGGCCGUAACUAUAACGGUCCUAAGGUAGCGAAAUUCCUUGUCGGGUAAGUUCCGACCUGCACGAAUGGCGUAAUGAUGGCCAGGCUGUCUCCACCCGAGACUCAGUGAAAUUGAACUCGCUGUGAAGAUGCAGUGUACCCGCGGCAAGACGGAAAGACCCCGUGAACCUUUACUAUAGCUUGACACUGAACAUUGAGCCUUGAUGUGUAGGAUAGGUGGGAGGCUUUGAAGCGUGGACGCCAGUCUGCGUGGAGCCAACCUUGAAAUACCACCCUUUAAUGUUUGAUGUUCUAACGUUGGCCCCUGACCGGGGUUGCGGACAGUGUCUGGUGGGUAGUUUGACUGGGGCGGUCUCCUCCCAAAGCGUAACGGAGGAGCACGAAGGUUAGCUAAUCCUGGUCGGACAUCAGGAGGUUAGUGCAAUGGCAUAAGCUAGCUUGACUGCGAGCGUGACGGCGCGAGCAGGUGCGAAAGCAGGUCAUAGUGAUCCGGUGGUUCUGAAUGGAAGGGCCAUCGCUCAACGGAUAAAAGGUACUCCGGGGAUAACAGGCUGAUACCGCCCAAGAGUUCAUAUCGACGGCGGUGUUUGGCACCUCGAUGUCGGCUCAUCACAUCCUGGGGCUGAAGUAGGUCCCAAGGGUAUGGCUGUUCGCCAUUUAAAGUGGUACGCGAGCUGGGUUUAGAACGUCGUGAGACAGUUCGGUCCCUAUCUGCCGUGGGCGCUGGAGAAUUGAGGGGGGCUGCUCCUAGUACGAGAGGACCGGAGUGGACGCAUCACUGGUGUUCGGGUUGUCAUGCCAAUGGCACUGCCCGGUAGCUAAAUGCGGAAGAGAUAAGUGCUGAAAGCAUCUAAGCACGAAACUUGCCCCGAGAUGAGUUCUCCCUGAGACUAUAAGUCUCCUGAAGGAACGUUAAAGACGAUGACGUUGAUAGGCCGGGUGUGUAAGCGCAGCGAUGCGUUGAGCUAACCGGUACUAAUGAACCGUGAGGCUUAACCUU